UACGUAGGGAGCAAGCGUUGUCCGGAAUCAUUGGGCGUAAAGCGCGCGUAGGUGGCUUCGUAAGUCCGCUGUGAAAGUCAAAGGCUCAACCUUUGAAAGCCGGUGGAUACUGUGAAGCUAGAGUACGGAAGAGGCGAGUGGAAUUCCUGGUGUAGCGGUGGAAUGCGCAGAUAUCAGGAAGAACACCAACGGCGAAGGCAGCUCGCUGGGACGGUACUGACGCUGGAGACGCGAAAGCGUGGGGAGCGAACAGG
rnacentral:rRNA from 1 species